AAGCAUAUCAAUAAGCGGAGGAAAAGAAACUAACAAGGAUUCCCCUAGUAACUGCGAGUGAACCGGGAAGAGCUCAAAUUUUGAAUCUGGUGGUCUUUUGGCCAUCCGAGUUGUAAUCUAGAGAAGCGUCUUCCGCGCUGGACCGUGUAUAAGUUUCCUGGAAAGGAACGUCGUAGAGGGUGAAAAUCCCGUCUUUGACACGGACUCCCAGGGCUAUGUGAUGCGCUCUCGACGAGUCGAGUUGUUUGGGAAUGCAGCUCAAAUAGGGUGGUAAAUUCCAUCUAAAGCUAAAUACAGGCGAGAGACCGAUAGCGAACAAGUACCGUGAGGGAAAGAUGAAAAGAACUUUGGAAAGAGAGUUAAACAGUAUGUGAAAUUGCUGAAAGGGAAACGCUUGAUGUCAGUCGCGUUGGCUGGGGAUCAGCCUUGCUUAACUGCAAGGUGUAUUUCCUGGUCGACGGGUCAGCAUCAGUUUUGACCGUCGGAAAAGGGCUCAAGGAAAGUGGCACUCCUUUGCAGGAGUGUGUUAUAGACUUGGGUCUUGAAUACGAUGGUUGGGACUGAGGAACUCAGCAUGGCCUUUUGGGUCUCGGGGCUUUGGCCCACGUUCGCAUGCUUAGGAUGCUGGCAUAAUGGCCUUAAGCGACCCGUCUUGAAACACGGACCAAGGAGUCUAACAUGC
rnacentral:rRNA from 1 species